rnacentral:rRNA from 1 species
UGCGUGAAGUUGGAAUCGCUAGUAAUCGCGGAUCAGCAUGCCGCGGUGAAUACGUUCCCGGGCCUUGUACACACCGCCCGUCACACCAUGAGAGUCGGGAACACCCGAAGUCCGUAGCCUAACCGCAAGGGGGGCGCGGCCGAAGGUGGGUUCGAUAAUUGGGGUGAAGUCGUAACAAGGUACC